GCUUACCACUGGGGCAUAACCCUUGUUUUAAGUUUUGUCCCCCCACCCCCACCCUCAAACUUUUUUUGACGUGUAUAUCUUUUUCUACUCAGAAAUCACACUAGUAUACAGCAACUUUAGUUGUUUUGAAAGCUGUUUCAUAAAAUGGCUGCUACAGUAGAUUUUUAACCACAUGAAGUCCAAGUGGGUUGUUUCUUUCGAAAUGUCUAGUAAUCUAUUUACUUUGCCGCAACAUUUGUUUGCUUGAGUGAAUUGCUUAAAACAUGUCGUUUAAGUAGAAUGUUUACUUGUGUAAAUCUAUCUAUAUUAUUUUUAGAACAUGACAUCUAUGUGGAUUAUUUGUUUGAUUUAUAUACUUUGUAUUCAUAUGUAGAGAUUCCAUUUUUAAAAUAAUAAUUACUCCGUGCAAGUGGCAUUAGCAGGAUAGAAACUGGUUUCAAGAAUAUAUGUAAUGAAUAAGAAUAGAAGUUUAUUGAGAAUAAGAAUAGAAAUUUAUUGAAUAUUUUAUGGAAAAAGAUUUCAGCAGAGACAAAA
rnacentral:lncRNA from 1 species